AGGUAAUCUCUCUUAAGAUCCAACCCAAGCUAUUCCCUAUAUACAAGCUAGAAUCAGCCAAAAACAUAAGGAGACUCCACCAGGAGUGGGGAGUUCUUGAGAAAGCUUUUGCUUCUGAAAAAAGAUAAAAGUACACAGGAGAGCUGUCUGGUGCCAUUCCUUGAGCAUGUGAGAGACUGUGUCACUGGAAGCAGCAGUUAUCUCUGGCCAUAAGUUGAGAUGACUGGGUGAAACGCUAAAAUGUUGAGAAGACAAUACAUAGGAGUGAAUGAGACAGAAAGCGAGACCUUGAGGAUGAUUAAGAAGAGCAAGUACAACAUGGCUGAGACUAAGUGUCCAGGGAGUUGAGAAUAAGUGGCCUAUUGUCAUGUCCUAUAUAAGUAGAGUAUGUGGAUGGGAGGCCAAGAACACACCAACAAAUAAAAUGUUGAAUACAUCAGUCAAGGGCCUAUCGAGAUGAUCAGGAUGCUGGCUAUUGGAAUGUUUAUCCUCCCACCCCACCCCAGAAGAGGACCUUCUUGGCUUGUUCACCGCUGUUUCCCAGCCUGGCACACAGCAGAUGCACAAUGAAUAUUCAUUAAAAUCAAUGAUUAACUAAACUGGCUAGUAUUCCAUCUCACUUUCAUUACUGGAGAACUGAAGAGCCAGCUAGCCUACAAAAACUCAUUCUGGAUUUAGAAGCAAUAAGAAAACAUGCGUUCAAAUAAAAUCAGAGAAUCCUUCU